GUGCUCACUUCAGCAUCACAUAUACUAAAAUUGGAGUGAUACAGAGAUGAUUAGCAUGGCCCCUGCUCAAAGAUGACAAGCAAAUUUAUGAAAUGUUCCAGAUUUUU